rnacentral:rRNA from 1 species
GAUGAACGCUGGCGGCGUGCCUAAUACAUGCAAGUCGAGCGAACAGACGAGGAGCUUGCUCCUCUGACGUUAGCGGCGGACGGGUGAGUAACACGUGGAUAACCUACCUAUAAGACUGGGAUAACUUCGGGAAACCGGAGCUAAUACCGGAUAAUAUAUUGAACCGCAUGGUUCAAUAGUUAAAGACGGUUUUGCUGUCACUUAUAGAUGGAUCCGCGCCGCAUUAGCUAGUUGGUAAGGUAACGGCUUACCAAGGCACGAUGCGUAGCCGACCUGAGAGGGUGAUCGGCCACACUGGAACUGAGACACGGUCCAGACUCCUACGGGAGGCAGCAGUAGGGAAUCUUCCGCAAUGGGCGAAAGCCUGACGGAGCAACGCCGCGUGAGUGAUGAAGGUCUUCGGAUCGUAAAACUCUGUUAUUAGGGAAGAACAAAUGUGUAAGUAACUAUGCACGUCUUGACGGUACCUAAUCAGAAAGCCACGGCUAACUACGUG